AUCCUUCAGUUCUUAAGUGUGAUAAUUGGAUGUUCAUUUCUCAUGCAUGAGAUAUGCCUCCCUCAAAUCUUGUUACGACAUCAGCACAUUACGUGAAA
rfam:Cavia porcellus supercont2_16 genomic scaffold, whole genome shotgun sequence.